rnacentral:rRNA from 1 species
GUUGAACGCUGGCGGCAUGCCUAACACAUGCAAGUCGAACGGUAACAGGCCCUUCGGGGCGCUGACGAGUGGCGGACGGGUGAGUAAUGCUUAGGAAUCUGCCUAGUAGUGGGGGAUAACCCGGGGAAACUCGGGCUAAUACCGCAUACGUCCUACGGGAGAAAGCGGGGACCUUCGGGCCUCGCGCUAUUAGAUGAGCCUAAGUCCGAUUAGCUAGUUAGUAGGGUAACGGCCUACCAAGGCGACGAUCGGAGCUGGUCUGAGAGGACGACCAGCCACACUGGGACUGAGACACGGCCCAGACUCCUACGGGAGGCAGCAGGUGGGGAAUAUUGGACAAUGGGCGCAAGCCUGAUCCAGCGAUGCCGCGUGUGUAGAAGAAGG